rnacentral:rRNA from 1 species
UUGAAAGGGAAACGAUUGAAGUCAGUCGUACCAGCGGGAAUCAACCUUUCGAGUGGGGGGUUUUGGAGUUUUGAAGAGUGUCAAAACCUUUGAGAUUUCAAAAUAUUCGCUCUUUUGGUGUACUUUCUCGUGGGUAGGUUAACAUCGAUUUUGAUCAUCAUAAAAAAGAUUGGAGGAAUGUAGCUUCGAUCUUGUAUUGAAGUGUUAUAGCCUUUGGUAAAUGUGAUGAUUAGGAUCGAGGAUUGCAACGAAUACCCUUUUGGGCUAUCCGCCUGAUCUCUGAUACGUGGCCUUGGUAUCGAAAGCGUGCUUAUGGUAUUGAGGUAUUACGGUCAAAAGGUUAGAACGGAUUACAUUCGUUAAGGAUGUUGACGUA